AGCGAACGUUUGCGGCGGGCCUAACACAUGCAAGUCGAACGGGCUAGCAAUAGUCAGUGGCGCACGGGUGCGUAACACGUGGGUAAUCAACCCUUCAGCUCGGGAUAACGCCUUGAAAGGGGCGCUAAUACCGGAUGCGACGCGAGGAGCCUCGGCGCUUCGCGGGAAAGAUUCGCAAGGAUCACUGAAGGACGAGCCUGCGGCCCAUCAGCUAGUUGGUGAGGUAAGAGCUCACCAAGGCGAAGACGGGUAGCUGGUCUGAGAGGAUGAUCAGCCACACUGGAACUGAGACACGGUCCAGACUCCUACGGGAGGCGGCAGUGGGGAAUAUUGCGCAAUGGGCGAAAGCCUGACGCAGCCACGCCGCGUGAGCGAUGAAGGCCUCGGUC
rnacentral:rRNA from 1 species